GCCUUCUGAUGUGGUGAGGUGUUACUCUGUAUGGGUUGUGUUUUUUUUGAUAUUGUAUGGUAAUACUCUGUGUAUUGUGGCUGUCUCAGCUGUGACCUAUGCUGUAACAGGACUGGUCACAACCAAGGAAAAUCCUUUCAGGUCAUCUAGAGCAUAAAGAGCUUGAUCCAGCACUGUGCAUGUGAACUUCUCUACCCAGAAGGAUGGAAGAUCAUCCCAGUGUCAGGGACUGCAUCCUCUUGCAUUCUAGAGUAGAACUAUUGCAUCCACCUUGGUGCUGGUCUUCCCACCUUCUCACUUUUUGCUGGAGCUGUGUCUCAGCACCAAAGACCAUGACCAGCAGCAGAGUGGGGUUUAUAUAACUACAGUCUCUGGUUUCAGGCUGUGACUUCUGCACAUGUGGGAAGUCAGCUGCCUUAACUAUUGAGGAAAUAAUUCUUAUAAACCUUCCUUGCAUGUCUGUCCUGAUGCUCCUUCUGAUGCUGUACCCCAGCCAAAAUGGCACUAUCAGCCUGGACACUCCCAGCCUGGUGGGCUCUAGCCCAAGCAGAAGGGACUCAGCUCUUACAAACGGGAUGUCUGGAUGCCACGAGGGCACUUCACUGCACUGUGCAGCCUUGGCAUGUUCAUUGCAAAAUAUCCUCAUGGCUCACUGGGCAGAAAGUACCUGUGGUACUACCAGAAGGCAUCAACUCAACAAAUGAAUUAUUGAGUAAAACUCUAUGGUCAGACUAAGUAAUCACAAGGAUCUCUUCUGCCCCUAAAAUCUAUUAUCUUAAUUCUCUUUUACCCUAAGGCCAUUUUACACCCCUCUAGCAACAUAAAUGGACCUUAAGGGUUGAAUAUUUAUAUCCCCUUUGAGGUAUUUUUCUGUUGCCAGAGUGAUGCCUCAGAAACCUUUGUGCAAAUGAAAAUAAGGAGCUCAGAGUCCCUCAAUUGCCAUGCUGGAAGUUGGCUCAGGGGCUGGGGUUUUGCUUGGUUCUGUGGUUUUCCAUGUCUGAUCAAUACAUGUAGACUGUUUGGGAGUCCUUGUUUCAGUAUUUUAUUAACAUUGAUUCAUGUAACUUUGUUUAUGCCUUUUGUGGUGGGGAUUGGCUACUUAAUGGCAUAACCAAUUAACCACCUGCCUUUGGCAUAGUGUAAAAUCAAGGUGUAUAUUUUUCCAACACAUGCUGUGAAAUCAUACCAACCUGUGGAGGUGUGAAAAGAAACCAAAUAGUUAAUCUAAAAUGGUCUGGACUGUAAUCUUGGAAGCAAGUCCUAAUGGCUCUCAGCCAGACAUCAGAUGUUUCUGGGGUGUUGGUGAAUCUCUGCUGGUGAGAAUCUGAGUGGCACAAGGAGCUGAGUUUGAAAGUAUAACAACUUGACCUGGGUUACCUGUUAUUGUUAUUGUGGUUAUGUGUCCAAAUUGGGGUUUCUCCAUUAAAACCUGCAGUAGCAUGGCCCUGAUAUGCACUAUACAUGCACACUCUAGGAGCAGCUUUAUCUUUCUUGUGGUUUAAAUGUAAUCCAAUAAUAAACAAAAAUUCCUGGUGGGUUCUUGGAUUAGAUGAA